rnacentral:rRNA from 1 species
GAUGAACGCUGGCGGCGUGCCUAAUACAUGCCAGUCGAGCGAACGGACGAGAAGCUUGCUUUUCUGAUGUUAGCGGCGGACGGGUGAGUAACACGUGGAUAACCUACCUAUAAGACUGGGAUAACUUCGGGAAACCGGAGCUAAUACCGGAUAAUAUUUUGAACCGCAUGGUGCAAAAGUGAAAGACGGUCUUGCUGUCACUUAUAGAUGGAUCUCGGCUGCAUUAGCUAGUUGGUAAGGUAACGGCCUACCAAGGCAACGAUGCAUAUCCGACCUGAGAGGGUGAUCGGCCACACUGGAGCUGGGACGCGGUCCAGGCUCCUACGGGAGGCAGCAGUAGGGAAUCUUCCGCAAUAGGCGAAAGCCUUACGGAGCGACGCCGCGUGAGUGAUGAAGGUCUUCGGAUCGUAAAACUCUGUUAUGAGGGAAGAACAUAUGUGGAAGUAACUGUGCACAUCUUGACGGUACCUAGUCAGAAAGCCACGGCUAACUACGUG